rnacentral:lncRNA from 1 species
GGGAUUGUUUCUGCCCCUGGAGUGUAAGAAAAGGCAAGACCUUCCCUGUGACAGCAAAGAGAUUAGGGCUUUUGCCCAUACUGCUCCCUUUGCUGAACACUGCAUUUGGUCACUCGAAUUCACCCACGAGGUCUCUGUUUAGACGAUGCUUGUUCCAGACAGUGUUCGGCACCUCCCGAUACGGUAGAGGUCGCGCACCCUCCGCUUGGCCUCGUUCAUGUCCCGACUGAAAAUGGGCUUCACCGAGGUGCUGGCCGCAACGGCAGCCUGGCGGAGUCUGCUCGCCGCCAUCUUGCUGAGACAAUCACUUCCCAGCUCCACCCCGUUUCGACCUCUAGAGUGAUGAUCUUUGACACGAGUAGAAAGGAGGCUCCAAAUAUAUAAAGUUCUUAAAUAGUAUCUUACUUUAAAGAGUAACUUUAAGUUUAUG